rnacentral:tRNA from 1 species
GCAUUGGUUUUUCAGUGGUAGAAUUCUCGCCUGCCACGCGGGAGGCCCGGGUUCGAUUCCCGGCCAAUGCA